rnacentral:rRNA from 1 species
GGGGAAUAUUGCGCAAUGGGGGGAACCCUGACGCAGCAACGCCGCGUGAAGGAAGAAGGCCUUCGGGUUGUAAACUUCUUUGAUCGGGGACGAAAAUGACGGUACCCGAGGAACAAGCCACGGCUAACUACGUGCCAGCAGCCGCGGUAAUACGUAGGUGGCGAGCGUUGUCCGGAAUUACUGGGCGUAAAGGGCGUGUAGGCGGGGGGUCAAGUCAGAUGUGAAAUACCGUGGCUUAACUGCGGGGCUGCAUCUGAAACUGGUCUUCUUGAGUGUCGGAGAGGAAAGUGGAAUUCCCAGUGUAGCGGUGAAAUGCGUAGAGAUUGGGAGGAACACCAGUGGCGAAGGCGGCUUUCUGGACGAUAACUGACGCUGAGGCGCGAAAGCGUGGGGAGCAAAC